GAUGAACGCUGGCGGCGUGCUUAACACAUGCAAGUCGAACGGAAAGGCUCCUGCUUGCCGGGGUACUCGAGUGGCGAACGGGUGAGUAACACGUGGGUGAUCUGCCCUGCACUUCGGGAUAAGCCUGGGAAACUGGGUCUAAUACCGGAUAGGACCACAUUUUGGAUGGUGUGGUGGAAAGUUUUUCGGUGUGGGAUGAGCUCGCGGCCUAUCAGCUUGUUGGUGGGGUAAUGGCCUACCAAGGCGUCGACGGGUAGCCGGCCUGAGAGGGUGUACGGCCACAUUGGGACUGAGAUACGGCCCAGACUCCUACGGGAGGCAGCAGGGGGGAAUAUUGCACAAUGGGCGCAAGCCUGAUGCAGCGACGCCGCGUGGGGGAUGACGGCCUUCGGGUUGUAAACUCCUUUCGCUAGGGACGAAGCGUUUUUGUGACGGUACCUGGAGAAGAAGCACCGGCUAACUACGUG
rnacentral:rRNA from 1 species